CGACUGCUGACGAGUCCAAACACAGAACGAAACAGCUGUCUAGUUC
rnacentral:hammerhead_ribozyme from 1 species